rnacentral:rRNA from 1 species
AACUAGUAUUAGAGGCACUGCCUGCCCGGUGACAAUAGUUAAACGGCCGCGGUAUCCUGACCGUGCAAAGGUAGCAUAAUCACUUGUUCUUUAAAUAAGGACUUGUAUGAACGGCCACACGAGGGUUUUACUGUCUCUUACUUUUAAUCAGUGAAAUUGACCUCCCCGUGAAGAGGCGGGGAUAUUGAAAUAAGACGAGAAGACCCUAUGGAGCUUUAAUUAAUCAACCCAAAAACUAUAAAUCUAAACCGCCAAGGGAUAACAGAACUUUAUAUGGGUUGACAAUUUUGGUUGGGGUGACCUCGGAGCACAAAAAAACCUCCGAGUGAUUAAAACCCAGGCCCACCGGCCAAAGUGUAAUAUCACUUAUUGAUCCAAAAAUUUUGAUCAACGGAACAAGUUACCCUAGGGAUAACAGCGCAAUCCUAUUCUAGAGUCCAUAUCGACAAUAGGGUUUACGACCUCGAUGUUGGAUCAGGACAUCCUAAUGGUGCAGCCGCUAUUAAGGGUUCGUUUGUU